AAGUACCUGAAGGAAGAGAAAGAAAUUCGAUUCCGUAAGUAGCGGCGAGCGAACGCGGAUUAGCCCAAACCAAUAAAGUUUUCUUUAUUGGGGUUGUGGACAUAUCAUAACGAAGAGGUAUCGUAAUUGAAGAGGUUUGGAAAGACCCACCACAGAAGGUAAUAGUCCUGUAUGUUAAACGAGAAGACUUUAGAUAUGAUCCAGAGUACCACGGGACACGUGAAACCCUGUGGGAAGCAGGAGGGACC
rnacentral:rRNA from 1 species